rnacentral:rRNA from 1 species
UACGGAGGGUGCGAGCGUUGUCCGGAAUCACUGGGCGUAAAGGGCGCGUAGGCGGCUCAUGAAGGCUGUGGUGAAAGUCCGGGGCUCAACCUCGGAUCGGCCGUGGCGACUCGUGGGCUGGAGCACUGUAGAGGCGGGUGGAAUUCCGGGUGUAGCGGUGGAAUGCGUAGAGAUCCGGAAGAACACCAGUGGCGAAGGCGGCCCGCUGGGCAGUGGC